rnacentral:tRNA from 1 species
UAUGGCAGAAUAGUGCAAUGGAUUUAAGCCCCAUUUAUAAAAUUUAAAAUUUUUAUUAAAA